GACGAACGCUGGCGGCGUGCCUAAUACAUGCAAGUAGAACGCUGAAGAGAGGAGCUUGCUCUUCUUGGAUGAGUUGCGAACGGGUGAGUAACGCGUAGGUAACCUGCCUGGUAGCGGGGGAUAACUAUUGGAAACGAUAGCUAAUACCGCAUAAAAUGGAUUAUCGCAUGAUAAUCGAUUGAAAGGUGCAAAUGCAUCACUACCAGAUGGACCUGCGUUGUAUUAGCUAGUUGGUGGGGUAACGGCUCACCAAGGCGACGAUACAUAGCCGACCUGAGAGGGUGAUCGGCCACACUGGGACUGAGACACGGCCCAGACUCCUACGGGAGGCAGCAGUAGGGAAUCUUCGGCAAUGGACGGAAGUCUGACCGAGCAACGCCGCGUGAGUGAAGAAGGUUUUCGGAUCGUAAAGCUCUGUUGUAAGAGAAGAACGAGUGUGAGAGNGGAAAGUUCACACNG
rnacentral:rRNA from 1 species